rnacentral:tRNA from 1 species
GGGGUUGUGGCUCAGUGGUACAUCACUUGCUUAGCAUGUAUGAGGCACUGGGUUCAAUUCUCAGCACCACA